AAAAAAUAUCUAGGGUAACUGUACCAGUUUUUGGCAGGCUAGUGCAGCAGUUUCACAAAAAUUGCUCAUACAUCAAUAUUUUUCAUUAUUUUUCUUGAAAGUGUUGUUAUUCUGGAUGAUAAACUAUCAUAGCAGGUGUCUAUAAGAGGCAAUGGAAAAUUAUCACGAACUGUUACUUUAUUUAAUGGUCUGUAAUCAACACAUUUUCUAACUUCGCCAUUUUUCUUUCGAACCAGGACUAAGGCAGACGCGUAUGCAAAUGACAACCGUCUUGGUUUGGUAGAAAUAGGAGUGUCAUCUUCACUUUGGUAUUUUGUAAGGUUUUUACCAAUAUCAAUGGGAUUUGUUUGAUCAACAACAUCUAUCAUACACAAAGAAGAAAAUGUAUCGGUAAACACAUCGAUCGACUCAUGAGCUAAAGCAGAAAAUGAGCAAUCUCCCUCCCGACGUGCGACUGACCUCUUUACAAUGUCAAGUGUAUGGAGCUUUUGAUAUAAAUUCGUUUUUAUUAAAGGCAGCUUUUUCAUAUUAUUCAUGUUCAAUAAAGUGUUUAUAAAGUACGUAUUUUGUA